rnacentral:misc_RNA from 1 species
AAUAGAGGUCUUCAUUUGGCUAUUUUUCACGUUUCUUACUCUUGAAUUGAUUUAUGCAUUUUCAACAAGAUAAAUUCAGAUUAUCACAUAUGCAUAGGUGCUUCUAUAUGAAUAAGUAGAGUACAAAAUAAAAUCAUAUAAUUUUGCAUCAUGUGCCUAUAUCACGUUUUGUCAUGUCCAUGUUGCCAUUUUCAUGUCUGUAUUAACGGAUGGCAAGGAUGAACAAACAUAAAUUCCAGGAGAACCAUAACAAGUAUGCCUAAAUCCAUGGAUCACACA